GGGCAGGAAGGGUCCGAGGCAGAGAUUUUGUGGUUUGAGCUUCACCUGUUCCCAAAAAAACCCUGGAUUUUGCCGGAAUAAACGUCAGCAAUUCCCCAAAAGUCCCAGGUUUGGGGGAAUGAACAUCAGGCAUUCCCAAAAAAAAAAUUGAGAUUUUGGGGAAUGCACUUUGGCUAUCCCAAAAAAAUCAGAUUUUUGUGAUGAACGUCCACACUCCCAUAAAAAUCUCAUUUAAGACUGGAAUAAACCCAAUUUUCCCCCCGCAAAAACCCAACCACCCAACAGAGGGAUUUUCCCGGGAUUCCCUUGUAGCAUUCCUGGGUUUUUUUGGGCAUUGCAGCGUGGACAACAGCGAGUACAUGCAGAAUAAACCUCAUUUUUCCCCCCAAAAAAUCAGAUUUUUAAGCAGCUAAACCCCAUUUUUUGCCCCUAAAGUCCCCAGCCACCCAACAGAGGGAAUUUCCCGGGAUCCCUUUACAGCAUUCAGAGGUUUUUUUGCUUUGGCAUUGCAGCGUGGACAACAGCGAGUACAUGCGGAACGGGGACUUCCUGCCGACGCGGCUGCAGGCGCAGCAGGACGCCGUCAACAUCGUGUGCCACUCCAAGACACGCAGCAACCCCGAGAACAACGUGGGGCUCAUCACCCUGGCCAAGUGAGGGGGACGGGCUGGGAACGGCUGGGAAUGAGUGCUAGGAAUGGCAGGGAUUGUGGGCUAUUGCAGGUGGGAGCUUCAGGAAUUCUUGGAAUGGCUCAUUCCACUUGGAAUGGGAGGAAUCUGGGGAUUUUCGGGGUGGGAGUUUCAGGAAUUUUUGGAAUGGCUCAUUCCCACUUGGAAUGGGAGGGAUCUGAGAGGGAUUUUGGGGUCAUUUCAGAUGGGAACUUCAGGAAUUCUUGGAAUGGAAUGGAUUUGGGGCUCACUGGAAGCUGGGGAAAUCUGGGAUUUUGGAGAAUUCCCUCCCAGAUUCCCAAAGAAUCCCCAGGAGUUGCUCCUGUAGCUGUGGAGUGCUGCCAGCCCUGGAGCCGAGCCCGGCCUGAAUCCAGGGGGAUUUACUGAAUCCAGGGG
rnacentral:lncRNA from 1 species